rnacentral:rRNA from 1 species
GAUGAACGCUGGCGGCGUGCCUAAUACAUGCAAGUCGAGCGAACAGAUGAGGAGCUUGCUCCUCUGACGUUAGCGGCGGACGGGUGAGUAACACGUGGAUAACCUACCUAUAAGACUGGGAUAACUUCGGGAAACCGGAGCUAAUACCGGAUAAUAUAUUGAACCGCAUGGUUCAAUAGUGAAAGACGGUUUUGCUGUCACUUAUAGAUGGAUCCGCGCCGCAUUAGCUAGUUGGUAAGGUAACGGCUUACCAAGGCAACGAUGCGUAGCCGACCUGAGAGGGUGAUCGGCCACACUGGAACUGAGACACGGUCCAGACUCCUACGGUAGGCAGCAGUAGGGAAUCUUCCGCAAUGGGCGAAAGCCUGACGGAGCAACGCCGCGUGAGUGAUGAAGGUCUUCGGAUCGUAAAACUCUGUUAUUAGGUAAGAACAAAUGUGUAAGUAACUAUGCACGUCUUGACGGUACCUAAUCAGAAAGCCACGGCUAACUACGUG